rnacentral:rRNA from 1 species
CGCAGCCGCGGUAAUUCCAGCUCCAAUAGCGUAUAUUAAAGUUGUUGCAGUUAAAAAGCUCGUAGUUGAAUUUCGGGAUCAGCAGGUCGGUCGUGCCAAUGGUAUGCACUGGCCUUGCUGAUUCCUCCCUCUUGAUGAGCCGUAAUGCCAUUAAUUUGGUGUUGCGGGGAAUCAGGACUGUUACUUUGAAAAAAUUAGAGUGUUUAAAGCAGGCAAGCGCUUGAAUACAUUAGCAUGGAAUAAUGAAAUAGGACGUUUGAUCCUAUUUUGUUGGUUUCUAGGAUUGACGUAAUGAUUAAUAGGGAUAGUUGGGGGCAUUAGUAUUCAAUUGUCAGAGGUGAAAUUCUUGGAUUUAUUGAAGACUAACUACUGCGAAAGCAUUUGCCAAGGAUGUUUUCAUUAAUCAAGAACGAAAGUUAGGGGAUCGAAGACGAUCAGAUACCGUCGUAGUCUUAACCAUAAACUAUGCCGACUAGGAUCGGAUGAUGUUAAUUUUUUAAUGACUU